rnacentral:rRNA from 1 species
AGAGCGGCGCACGGGUGCGUAACGCGUAUGCAACCUACCUUUUACUGGGGGAUAGCCCGGAGAAAUCUGGAUUAAUACCCCAUGGUACCAAAUGGUUGAAUGACUGAAUGGUUAAAGAUUUAUCGGUAAGAGAUGGGCAUGCGUCUGAUUAGCUAGUUGGCGGGGUAACGGCCCACCAAGGCGACGAUCAGUAGGGGUUCUGAGAGGAAGGUCCCCCACACUGGCACUGAGAUACGGGCCAGACUCCUACGGGAGGCAGCAGUAGGGAAUAUUGGGCAAUGGUCGCAAGACUGACCCAGCCAUGCCGCGUGCAGGAAGACGGCCCUCUGGGUUGUAAACUGCUUUUAUCUGGGAAGAAAAAGGCCAUGCGUGGAAAAUUGCCGGUACCAGAUGAAUAAGCACCGGCUAACUCCGUGCCAGCAGCCGCGGUAAUACGGAGGGUGCAAGCGUUGUCCGGAUUUAUUGGGUUUAAAGGGUGCGUAGGCGGCUGAAUAAGUCAGCGGUGAAAGACUUCGGCUUAACCGGAGC